UGGGGGAUAUUGCACAAUGGGCGAAAGCCUGAUGCAGCGACGCCGCGUGGGGGAUGAAGGUUUUCGGAUCGUAAACCUCUGUCAGAAGGGAAGAAACCGCACUGUGCUAAUCAGCAGUGCCUUGACGGUACCUUCAAAGGAAGCACCGGCUAACCCCGUGCCAGCAGCCGCGGUAAUACGGAGGGUGCAAGCGUUAAUCGGAAUUACUGGGCGUAAAGCGCACGUAGGCUGCUUUGUAAGUCAGGGGUGAAAUCCCACGGCUCAACCGUGGAACUGCCUUUGAUACUGCUUAGCUUGAAUCCGGGAGAGGGUGGCGGAAUUCCAGGUGUAGGAGUGAAAUCCGUAGAUAUCUGGAGGAACAUCAGUGGCGAAGGCGGCCACCUGGACCGGUAUUGACGCUGAGGUGCGAAAGCGUGGGGAGCAAACAGG
rnacentral:rRNA from 1 species